UACGAAGGGUGCAAACGUUGCUCGGAAUUAUUGGGCGUAAAGCGCACGUAGGCGGCUUUGCAAGUCCCAUGUGAAAUCCCACGGCUCAACCGUGGAAGUGCAUGGGGAAACUGCAGAGCUUGAGUACUUAAGAGGAUCGCGGAAUUCCCGGUGUAGAGGUGAAAUUCGUAGAUAUCGGGAGGAACACCAGUGGCGAAGGCGGCGAUCUGGGAAGAUACUGACGCUGAGGUGCGAAAGCGUGGGGAGCAAACAGG
rnacentral:rRNA from 1 species